rnacentral:snRNA from 1 species
GCGUGCUUGGGCGAGAGU